AGGAUUAAUCGUUUUUUUUUUGUUUUUGAUUUCUUUUGUAAACAAAAUUUUAACGUUUGUUGUAGUAAAUUGUGCCCUUUGAUUUUGGACUUUUAAAUAACCAUCAGAGGAGUUUUCCGUUUGCACACUUCCAAAAACAAGUGUUGAUUGGCUGAUAAGAUUUGUGGAAUGACAGAUCCUGUGAUAGUUUUUUGUGCGGGUACCUUUAUCGGAGUCUUGUUAAUCAAUAUUCUACAAUCAAAUCGCCUACACACGAACGGCAUGAUCACGGAUCGACUAAUAAUAUUUAUUUUUGGUGUUGUUGUUGGUUACUUUGUGGUACCACGAUUGUAAUGAAUAUACUGAAAUGUGUGCAAGCAAAUAAUAAAUAAAAUAAUAAAAAUGCA